AAUAAUAAUAGGUCUUUGAAACAAAGCAAUAUGACUUCGGUAACAAACGAAAAUCCACAGGAAAAAUGUAUAAGCGAGCAAUAACCUUGGAAAACAUGGCAACCCAAAGAAUACAAUAGUAGAGGUAAAGUCAUAUUUAAAAUCAAUAUUAGAGUCAAACAAAAGAUUAAACAAAAUCAACUUCGACGUGAAAUCCAUGUGGAUUAUUUGGCUUAGGUGACAACACCAUAGAUAAAUCCUCCUCCCUAUCAAAAAACUCAAUGGGAACAACAAUAGAAGCAUUAUUAUCUUUACAAGAGUAACACAACUAGACUUGGGAGGUACUUGCUGGGACUCGAGCGAUAGACCUAACCUAUGACAUAAUUGGCGAAGAUAGAAUGAUCUGUACCAAAGAUUGGCCUGCUAAUGAGCGUUAUCUAUCGGAGUGCAGGAAUGUCAUCAAAUAAGAUUUCAAGAUUCAAAUCAUUAAGAAAUUUAGAUGAACUGUGCAAUAACUCUUCAAAGUAAGCUUGAUAUUUUCUAGCAGGCUGAUCCUUAUCUACAAUGCAAAAAUAAUUGAUCUAACAAUUGCAUUUGUAGUACACGAGGACGUAUUUAUUACUUAAAACUCAUUUCAUCUCAUCCCACGGGAGUAACAGUGUGCUAACCUAGGAGGUCAUGACAUGCAAAAUGAACUUCCAAUAUCACCUAGCAAAACCACAAGUGACUUUAUGUCAUCUUUCACUUAAGUUUUGAAAGUCAAAAAA
rnacentral:lncRNA from 1 species